GAUGAAGAACGUAGCGAAAUGCGAUAAGUAGUGUGAAUUGCAGAAUUCAGUGAAUCAUCGAAUCUUUGAACGCACAUUGCGCCCCAUGGUAUUCCGUGGGGCAUGCCUGUUCGAGCGUCAUUUACCCCCUCAAGCUCCGCUUGGUGUUGGGCGUCUGUCCCGCUUCGCGCGCGGACUCGCCCCAAAGGUAUUGGCAGCGGUCGUGCCAGCUUCUCGCGCAGCACAUUGCGCUUCUCGAGGCACCGGUGGGCCCGCGUCCAUCAAGCUCACCCCCCCAGUUUGACCUCGGAUCAGGUAGGGAUACCCGCUGAACUUAAGCAUAUCAAUAACGGAGGA
rnacentral:misc_RNA from 1 species